rnacentral:lncRNA from 1 species
CACAUGCGGGCUGCACACCGCGUAGCCCUUUAGUCCCGGUUUGGGACACAAACCGGGACUAAAGGCUCCUUACGGGCCGGGACUAAAGCCUCGAGGGAGGCAUUGCAAUUUGGGGCGACGUGGCCGGGCCUUUAGUCCUGGCCCAGAGGCAGGCUGGGACUAAAGGGUCCAGACCAAAGGCCCGUUUUCCACUAGUGGUCUACCCAGAUCGGAUGAUGGAGAUGCUAGGAUUCGUGUUCCCCUUUUGGGGCAUCAUCUUGGAGUUGGGCAUGGCUGGAGAGACUAGUGGCUGCUUGCGGUUGGUUGGUUGCUUUCAAACCGGCCGGUGGUGUUGAUCCGAUGAUAGCAUUGUGUUUUUAGAAAAUGGCCAUUCUCGGUAGAAAUGCAUUGUACUCAGUGAGAGGACUCUCAUCAGUAGAAAAAUACCCAUGUGCUCCUUAUGCCGGUAUUGGAUUGCUUGCAUGAAAGCAUCCAUCCUAUGGUUGUUGCAUCUAUAAAAUUGUAAUGCACCAAUGUUUCUAUUUAAGCAUGAUAGGAGAUAGGAAACAUUAUGUGUAUUGAUGGCAAGCAAGGCGUAAAGCUUAGUCAAUUGUAGGUUCAUAGUAGCAAACACCAUAUAAGCAAUGCACACAUGUUCUACACUUACUUGGAAUAGAUCUUGAUAUGUUGCCCACCUACAUGUACGCCACGUUCAUAUGCAACGUACGCGAUUUUAGCACUUUGAUGGAAUUGCUAUUGUAAUGUUCGAAAAACCCACAAACAUCCUAGGACUUGGAAGCAUUAGAAUUUUUGGCUACACGACCUUGCUUUCAAGACAAAGAUGCAUUCAGCUUUGUGGUUAGCUUGAGAAGGAUUAUUCUUGUGUGCCCCGUCAUGGAACAUCCACACUUCAUUCAAAUGCUAGUUUGUAUCUACAUAGUGGAACAACCUUACUACCUUAGCAUCCAUGACUCUACUUUAUUCUGUAAACACACGCUAAAUAUUUUGAAAUAGUCACUUCAUUGUUGUAUGUUGGCAAUCAACAAUGUUGACAACCAUGAGAACAUCGAUAACAACAUUUUUUAACCAAUGAAAUUUAUAUUUGACAUAUUAUUCCGAACAGUUAACAAUGAAACUUCUUCAUAUGUUAUCAUAGUAAGUAAUAAAGUAAUAUCUCAUGC